UGCGUAGGCGGAAUAUUAAGUCAGUGGUGAAAUCCUGCGGCUCAACCGUAGAACUGCCAUUGAUACUGAUAUUCUUGAAUGUAGUUGAGGUAGGCGGAAUGUGUAAUGUAGCGGUGAAAUGCUUAGAUAUUACACAGAACACCAAUUGCGAAGGCAGCUUACUAAACUAUGAUUGACGCUGAGGCACGAAAGCGUGGGGAGCGAACAGGAUUAGAUACCCUGGUAGUCC
rnacentral:rRNA from 1 species